CCGGGAGAGAAAGAGAAGCAGUUACCAUUUUAACCCAGGAAGAAUUUUUACUCCUAAAAACCGGAACACUAGAGUCUGCCAGACCUGGGUUCAAAUAGCCAGUUACUGAGCCUGUAGGUCUCUUUAUUUAUCAGCAAAAUGAGGAUGAGCACAGGACCUCUUUUCAUGUGGUGUUGCAGCAUUAAACGAAAGAAUGUGUAACCUCAGAGCACAGUCCCAGGCACGCGAGAGCUCAGUAUGCUUUUACUAUAAUCCUAUAAGGCAUUUGUUGAAAAAUCAGGAUGAAUGACAGAUGGCUCAGAGAGACAAUGAGCCGCAGACUCUGUCUCUCUGCUUGGUUCUGAGGUCUGCAGGGUUAGGGGAGGAGGCUGGCCCAAUCUUCCAGUCCAUUAAUCCGGAAUAACUGUGCAAAAGCCCGUGUCUGAUUAGUCUGGUUUUCUCAACGCCAGACGCCAACUAGUAAGAGAAGACAAAUUAGAACACAAGUCAGACAGCAUUUGAUAGGGAUUAUUUACGUAUAGAAGUCAGCUUAUGAGUAAUCAUAAGCAACAAUGUUUGCAGGAAAAGGUUGGGUUAGGGCAAAAUGGGAGAUAAGGUCUAAUGGGCUUAUUGUCCUGGGACCAGCCGACAGCUGGAUUUCAGAAUGAAGGGCCUGGCUGAGUCACCCUCCUCUGGGGCUUGCUUUCUCAUCUUUAAAUUGGGUAUUCACAGUCAGACAGACCCAGGCUCCAUUCAAAUUCGGACAGUGUGGGAUUCCAAGCACCUGAACACAUCACAGCUGGAAGGGCUGGGGGUUUCUUCACCACAUGCAGGGAUCCCUCCCAUCCUGGGAAUCCGGAAGGCUGGGUGCUCAACGGGGGAACCCUUAGUCUCCUUUUUGAAGACUGCAGAUCUGUUUUUGAAGUGAGGAUCCCACAUGGAAGCUACUCUAAAUUCCUUUCCGAAGGACGUGCCCGGUCUCAUUGGAGUUCUCAGUUUGUCAGAGGGGAAGCUCCCACUUUUUAAAUUACGCUGUUUCUCUCAACACCAGGGAAUUGCACACCUGGUCUUCACUGCUACGUCGAGGCUUAGAUGCGUCACAUAGCUUGCGAACUGGCUUAGGGGUCAUGGGGUUUAUCUUUCAUAUGCACAGCGUGAGUUACACAGAUUGGCUUUUGAAUGAUGAGCCCAGCCUUGCAUUGCUGGGGUAAAGCCCCUCUUACGGUGAUGUACUGUCCUCUUUAUGUCAUUUUUUAAGGGUCAUUAUACUCACGAGGGAUACUGAUUUGUAGUGUUCGUUUUGGACAAUUUCGUUUGUUAUUUUUCCCCCCUUACAGUGAAUUUUGGAGAUCUGUGUCUCUGAAGGACUUGGCUGCAUUUGUCUAGGUUUAAUUUACAGACAGAGUUGUUUGUUGUACGUCUUUAUGACAUGUCUGUAGCGGUAUAACUCUUCCAUUACAUGUUUUCUUCUGGCUUUUGGCCCUCUAUUUCAUCAUCCAGCUAGGGCUAGCGGCUUAUCCCCUUCCCUCUGAGAACAGCUUUUAGUUUCAUUCCUAUAUUUCUGUUUUCACUGUUGAUUUUUGCUCUUGGCCAUUCCCCUCCUUCGGCUUGACUUAGGUUUAAUUUGCUCUUCUUUUUCUAGUUUCCUAAUACAGAAGCCUAGAUCUCCAAUUUGACACCUUUAUUGUUCUGUAAUGCGACAUUCAAGCUAUUUCUCCAAGCCUGUAAUAAUCAAGAGCCCGUCCUUCGGGAGCCAGCCACUCCACUUCUGAACUGUAACGGUCAAAAAAUUUUGUUCUGCCUUAAGCCAAAGCUGCCUCCCCAUAGUUUCCGAGUUGGAUCCUUGGUUGGACUUCAGAGCAUCAGUGAGUGUGUUUUUCUAGUCAGCACCUUCAAUCACCCUUCUGAGUCUCUCCUUCCCUGCGGGACUGAGCACCCCAUAAGAGCAUCCUAAAUCUCUGUCCAUGUGCUGGUCUUUACGUCCUUCCUCUGCAGAGAGAAAUAUGCACAGCAGCCCCACGACGGUGCACUGGCUCUAGCAAAGAUUACUAGGAACCGCUGUCACUGGGUUCAACAGACACCGUGGUCUUCAUCCUGCACCGUGUCUCUAAAGGACGAGGCACUGUCCUUGUCAGCUACUGGAAAACAUGUUCUUUUCCUUCCAUCACUUUGCCUUCUCCUUUUUAGCAUCCUUGCAGGUUUUCCUUUUGACCGUCCCUUACACGCUGGUUUUCCCUUAUUCUGUCCACCUGGCUUAUCUUACCUGCUCCCAUGAACGAGAUGCCACUUGCCUUCGACUCGCCAAAUCUGUACUUUCAUCCAGACCCCUCCAUCACAUUCCAGAUACUCAGCUCCUGAUAACACCCCCAGGUGGAUAUUCCCCAGCUUGACAUUUCUAAAAAUGACCUCAUUCCCAAGUCUCCCGGGGGUCCUUGCAAGACCAUGUAAUCUGUGUCCUGUUGGUUUUAGUCUCCUGAUUCUUCGCACAUGAAUCACAGCACUAUGAGCUCAAGGCGGAGGAUGGUAUCUCUAUUUUUGUCUCUCCCUCCCAUUAAUAACUUGUACGCAUAGCACACAACAGCUUCUCAAUACUUACUUAUUCAAUGAGUGAAUGUCUGUCACCCCGUGAGGAAAUGAAUUUAUUUGUCCACACGACAGCCUUCCAAGUAUGAGAAGGCUGGUAAGCAUCCACUGCCAUUUAUUUAACAAAUACUGAUUAAGGACAGGCACUGUUCUAGGCUUCCCAGCUAUGCUGUCAAACGAGUUAGCCUAGAUCUUUGCCCUCAUGGAAUUUAACUUCUGGUUGACAGAGACAAAUAAAAACAAGUAAACAAACGAGGUUUCAGAUAGUGGUAAAAGCGCAGUAGGGCAACAGGCUAGGGAGUGACAACCACUGGAAAGGGAUGUUAAGAAAAAAAAAUCUCUGAGGGAACGACAGCUGGCUAGAGAAUGGAAUGAAGUAAGGAAGUUCAUCACGUGGCUAUGAGGUAAGGACAUUCCAGUGCAAAGGCCCUGGGGCAGAGAAUAGGCUAGAGAAUAAGGAUGAGGGAAUUAUAGUUCACACAGCAGAUCUUAAAAAAGAUGGGGGUCAACCAGAUCAUGUGGGGCCUUGUGAACACAGUACUGACUUUGGAUUUUAUUUUAAAUAUAAUGAGGGACUACUGAAGUUGUUCCAAGAAGAGGUCUGGUACACAGAGCCACUGCCAGGUACUCUUGUCUUUCUCUCUUUGAAAAAUUCUGGUUGCUCCUAGAAAUGCCUUGUUGCUAGAAGGCUGCCCCUGUGUGAUCUGCAACUUGCUAUUCAGUCAGUAUGGGUGAACGGAUCAUGGGCCACGUUGGAGGCCAGAGGAACUGGAUGACGGCCCCAAGUCUCCACCAGAACAGUGCUAGAUCCCCGGCCCAUGUCCUCUGAACAGACUGUGUAGCUGCUUUGUUCAUUUGACAGGAUAAUCUUUGGAGGAGAUGAGAAUGCUUCACUUACCCCCUCCCAAACCCUCCGCCCGCCAAGUUUGCAAAUUGCAGCCCCAGGGAGUCUUGGGGGAGCUUCUUCCUUCCUGUACACCUUCUCCACUUGUCUAUGGAGGUGAGACAAGGAUGUGGCUUCCUAAAAGUGGGCAAGCUUUUGCCUGGGAGCUCCCACAGGACGAGCUCACAAGUCUGUUUACAUUGGAGGCGGCCACACCCUCUGUGACACCUUCUGCGCAAGGCAUCUGGCUCUCCUCAGCUGAGAUCAUUGGCUAACGGGGCAUGCACCAAGGACUGUAUGAGGGCUACGGACCAGCUUCCACUGUGGAGUCUUGGCCAAGGCUGAGAUCUGACCAUUAUCCUAUGAGUCCACCUGGCUCUUCCAUUCGGCCUAGGAACCAUCAAUCAGGCUGUGUCCUGUGAAACAGGGUCCUUAUGUGGCCUGUAAAGCCCGGAGCCUGGGCUCCUCUCCGGCUCACCCUGGCUCUGUAGGUCUAGCCACAGCAGCUUUCUGUCCUUUGUUUGUUUUUUUUUUGUACCAGAAAUCGAACUCAGGACCUUGCACUUGGAAGGCAGGCUCUAUGCCGCUGAGCUAUAUCCCCGGCCCAUGUCCUUUGAAUAGACUGUGUGGCCAGUACUGGAUCUUUUUCUCUGGAAUGCUUCUAAUCCAUCUCAAUCUCCGCUCCUGUGCUUGGUAAACAUCAUUCCUUAAAAAACACCAUCCUGACCCCUCAGCACCUGGCUGCCCAGGGAGGUGUCUUUGCUCAGUGUCCUCAAAGAAUCUUCGCAUGUAGCUCAAUCUGAGUUCAGUCUAGAGCAGAUGGCAAACGUUCUAGGGCUUUCAGUGUCAACAGCCUGCUGCAACACAGGUGCCAUAGGUUCGCCACCACUGGUCUAGACUGUGUAUUCCUACAUGUGACUAUCUGAUCUUCCGCAAGUGCCUCCGUGUCCUCAUCCACAGAGUGGGACAGUGAGCCCUCCCUCUAAAGCAGAAAGCACAGAACAGACAGAAAGCGCCCGGCACACGGUUACUGCUUGUGAGCGCUGUUUCUGCUUCCCUGAACAACAAAGCAAUUACGCCUGAACUCUGUUCUAGGGACCACAUUGUAAUUUACCUUGCAUGAAGGGAACAACAAAACCCACUUUAACUCCGUUUUAUCCCCCUAAGUGAGCACUGCGCCUAGUUUACAGUACCUGCUCCGUAAUCACACGGAACAAAAGUUGACUCUGAGGUACAUAAGGGAACACGACUUAGAGCAGAAUCUUUCCUGCCCUAGGUUUUCCUAAAGAGGUCUGGGUGCUUUUACUUAUUAAUGAGGGAACUAUUUUUCUCUUUAAUUGUACUGAUGAGUCUAUAGGAACCAUGUGAAAUAGUUUUAACAAAUGUUCCUGUAGUGAGAUUUUCUGGUGUUUUAAACUUUCCAACCCACUCUGCCUCCCUCCCUGUUUCUGCUAUGUGUAGCUAGGUAUUUACACUUCAUUUGGAAAACCUGAAAGCAGCUGAUUCUUCUUCAUUUCAAAAUGAAAACCUUCUGGACUCAGCUGCAGCAAGCACAGAGAAGGAAAUGCAAUCCUAGCAUGCAGCUUGGUCCACAAGGAAUACUAUUUGCACAGGCUUAAUGCAAAUGGAAUUUGUUUUUGCUUUUAGGCUACACUUAAGGAUGAAUCCCAGAUGCGGAACAAAAUACAAAUAUUACUUUAAAAUACAGCUGUGAUGAUAUAAAGGGCAAAGUGCCACUGACCAGCGAGGAAGUGUCUAGAGUGUUAAUUUCCAUGGUCUUUCAGUCUUUCAUGGGAAGGAUCAAGAUACUAAAUCAUUUAACGAAAGGAGCAGAAGUGUAAGGGCACUGUCUGUGAUUACAAGGGGCGGCAAGGGAAACAGAAGUAGAAUCAAAUAUUGAGAGAAAGAGAGAGGAGAGAUAGAAAUGAGCUGAAAUCCCAGCUUUCCAACUAGGGAGUCAAUAAAUAUCAUCUGCAAUUGAUAAUUACACAGUGGAAGAAGUCAUCCUCGGAUGAAGAAUUAUAAAGAUAGCAGCUAGAAGCACUGACACAGAAAGAUUAAGACAGGCUCCCUCAGGGGUUGUGGUGCAAGUGAGGAGAUGUGUAUCCAACCCCAAGGAUGGUAUUUUCUAUCAGAAGCUCAUUUGUGUUGCUUCAUUUGUUAUUAUGUGUAAUUAAGAACAACUUAAAUGGAACAAAAUAAAGUCGUUGUCUAAAUACACUAGGCUCUAAGGGUCCCUAGAACACAGUGUCUACAUAACUGCUUUGUUGUUCAGGGAAGCAGAAAUAGCACUCACAAGCAUUAACCAUGUGCCAGGUGCUUUACAUGUGUUCUCUGCUUUAGAGGGUGGGCUCACUGUUCCCACUCUGUGGAUGAGGACCAUCGAGGCACUGGAUGAAAAUCAGGUCCACAAAACUAAGAAGUACACGGUAAGGCUGGUGUUUAGGUUCACGGCCACCUUGUUGAACAUCCAUCGUUUUUCUGAUGGCAGCACAUGCACUCAGGCAAAUACCAUGGCUUAAAUGUCUGCAACAAAAUUCUGUUGUGACGAAAUCCUCAAAGUUAUAUGACAAUGGUUUUCGGAAGGGACCUUUGAGAAGACAUUUGGAAAGUGGCAGAGCCCUCAUGAAUAGAUUAACCUGCUGCAGAGUGAGUGUUAUAAAAAUCACCUUGGCUUUGUCUAUAGUAUGAAGCCCCUUGCCACAAGAUGCCCUGUGCCAUCUUGGAGUUUCCAUCAGUAAGAAGGUUCUCACCAGAUGCAACCCUCAGCCUUGGACUUCCCAGCCUCCAGAACUGUAAGAAGUAAAUGUAUUCUCUUUAUAAACUACCCAGACUCAAAAGCACCAGAAAAGAGAUGUAAAACAGGAAGGCUUGAAAUAUUUUUCCCCUCAUUAUACACACGCAUUAGGAAAACAUGAAAAUUAUAAAAAAAUAGGAACAAGAGAAAAAUCUAAACUUUGCAGUCUUACUCAUGUCUGAUAGGGUGAUAACAUUGUUUAAACUUAACGGGGACCUGUAGAUGCAGUCUGAAAAAUGACAGGAAAUUUCUGAUAGCUCUGUUCCCAGAGGUGACCUCUAUCUUGAAUUUGUGUAAAUACCUUCUUUGCAGUCAACUAAUUAUUACAGAUUCCAAAGUACUGAGACCACUCAUGUGGUGAACUUACACCUCCCCGUCUUUUCCAUCCCACAGAGCUCUAUAGAAAUUUCACCGUCUUGGAGUCUGCCCCGAGCCCACCGUGCUUUUUCAACCACUGAAAGUGAUUAGAGCCCUCAUCCAUCAGAGCCCCCAGGAAGCUGUCUGCAGACAAACUGUCCUUCUGGUGAGAACCGGGGCCGUGAGCCACACUUCUGCUUCCAACCCAGGCAGAAAGAGUUGUCUUAGAUGGACCACGAUGCCUACUGCCACACUGCAUCUGACAAGAGGCUGGUAAUAAGGAUCUGCUGCACUCGAAGCUCUCUGCGAGGUGCUAGAGACAGAACAGCAGGUAUGGCGGGCGUGAUGCAUGGUACAAGGACAGCAAUGACGCAGGUCAUUCCAGCAAGAGCUACACUUGGGUCACCAGACACCCACUGAGCGCUUGCUCUGUGAUCGGAGGGAGAACCCGGAGGCACAGGCACAAGGCUGACGUGCUCCACGGAACCAGAGAGGGGCCUCGGCUCUGCACACUGCUCAACCCGUCUUCACAGUCUAGUGAGGAAGACAGCCAAGGGCACCUGGGACUGGAGAGAGAACAGCGUCAGCCAGGUGCAGCAGGAGAAGGGCUGUGGAGACUGCGCGGAGGGGGGGACCACCCCGAGCUCCUCGCCGAGAAGGGCAUUUGACGCAGUGUGUGCAGAGUGACGGGGCUGAGUGGAGAAGACGGGCCUGCGGGGACAGGAGGGGCCUGAGCUGGCGGAACAGUGCAAUCGCAGACAGAGGGGACACUGGAUCCCUGCUGCAUGUAAGGCGGGUGGGGUCCAGGACAGGAGCUUACGGAGAGCAGUGCCCUGCAGUCCUGUGGACAACAGCCGCUGGUUCAGAAAGGCUGAUUCAAAGUCUCCUACUCUUGGCAAGGGGACGGAAAGACUUUAUUACUAAGCUCUGGGGAUGUCACACCACUGGCCUUUACACCUCUCUUAAGCUGAGCUCCUCCAAGCAGAAGGAAGCCUCCCCACCACGGUCCAGAGGAAGAAGAUGGCCCAUCUCUCAGGGCCACUCAGAUCCCAUGGGGUCUCUUCUGACUUGGCCCACGAAGCUUCCCCAGUGCUGUCUGUCUUUGACUAGGAUCCUGAACUGGUAUUUCCUGGGUGGUAAAUCAAAUAAAUGUUCAGUGUGAGAGUCAUGGCCGAGUUCAGUGCAAGCAGAUGCCUUUUAUAAAUCUGAAAAAUGAGGUCAGAAGUAGCUCCAGGGCAUACGUUACUAAAAAUAAAUCUCACCAACUAGCAAAAGUAGAUGGAAGAAACAAAAGCCCUCCUAACUUCCUCAUGUAUCACGACUGGCAGUUUAGCGACCUUUUUUCCCCUCAACUUUCUGAUCCCAUGAAUAAGUUUUCUCCCUAUUCAAUCAUGAAAAACUCAAAUUAUAGAAAAUGUAUGAAAGGACAACAAACAUCGUCUUACCCUCUGUGGAGAGUCACAACGGACAUCUUGUGCUGUCUGCUAUAACUGUCAUACUGAAUCAUUCAAAAGCGCAGUGAAGACACUGAAUCACUUUAGCCUUAAAUACUUCAGCCUCCAAUUCCUUUUUUUUGGUCUUUUUUUUUUUUUCUUUUUGA